UAUACUAUGCAAACUAUCGAUCACACUAAUCAACCCAGAUUGAGAACAACUAAUCGUAAACGUUCUAUGUUUAACAAACGCCUUGCAAGUGACUAAAAAUGCUCGAUGAAUGAUUUUGAAGUGUGUAUGUCUGUGUUUUUGUCCUCAAACAGCGUCCAAGAAACAUCUUUUUUUAUUGUGCUCGCAUAUAUCCAUUAGGGAUCGGCCAUUUCCAAUUUAUCUCAAUGAUUUCAAGAAAUCGAAUACAUUCAUUAUGUUUGACUUCGAAUUCGAGAUGGAGAUGGAGAUGGAGUACUCGUUGUUAAUGGAUUAUCAUUCAUUUUGUUGCGUCAUCUUUUUGCACAAAUUCUUUGAGCGUGAAGGCCUUGACUUUUGCUUUUGUAAACAACAAAAGAGAAACAUAAAUAAAGAGGUCUUUCACGCUGAAUUAUCGAAUUAUCGCAUAACCAUUAAAACCGAUCGAAGUGUGCAAAAAGUUUGGCAACUUUUUAAUGAACCAAUAAUGGAGUUGCAUUUGAAGACCAUUCACCGCCAUCAGAGUGAAGAAAUUCUUCUAUGAAAUUCAAUUCAUUCAAGCUUUAAUCAUAGUUCAUUGGCUGACCAUGACCUGGCCAAAAAACAUAAAAAAAAAGUGACCUUAAGCUGGAAGUUCCCACUGUGCGACCUCAGCUGAACUUGCCACCUGAAAACAUUGGCACGCCUUUUUUUGCCAUUAGUCUCAUGUCUAUAUGUCAAUCAAAAUCAAAAUCGCGUAAUUAAAUAAUUAAUUUAUUUAUUGUAUGUUUUUGUUUUCGUUUCAACAAGUGAUGCUGAUAAGCAAGCAUAUCAUAUCUUAUAUUCCAAUCAAGCCAUUUAAUCAACUGAAUGUUGCAUGUUAUCUGUUUAUUGUUUAAUUAUGUGUCUUGAGUUUUACAUACAUUCAUACAUAUAUAUUCGUUUAUUUUCGUUUCCUUAAAGUGUUGUUUUUGUUGUAAUUAUUUUUAAGCACAGGCAUUUAAUUUUCCUCCCGAAAUCCGCAAAAUAUUUUCGUUUUCGUUAUCGCGUUGCUUGUCACACUUUGUUUGUGUGAUUGCUGCUUUUAAUUACAGCUCAGCCCUGUUGUUUAUUUCUUAUUUUUAUCCCCAUGUGUAUGCCCACAUUUUGAAACCACAGCCAAUCAAUAAUACGGUCUAGCAUACUCAAGGAUUGGCUUUUUUCUUUGUUCAAACUAAUCAAGGCAUCGAUCAAAUGCGGACAAAAACCCCUGUCAAUUUGCUCGAUAGACGGCAAUUUUACAAUUUUGCAAUUCUACAAUGCAAAUCAGUCAUUGAAGACGGGUUCAUACAUAUGUAUGUACAUGUAUGUGUCUAUGUGUGGGGUAUAGGGUAUAUGGGGUAUAUACAUAUGUACAUACAUUUUAAUCAAGCGCAUUUGCUGCACAUUUGUGUUGGCUAUCUCUCCCUCCCAUCGUCGGCGUCGGCCUUCCUUAUGUAAGUCUAGCAAAAAAACCAAAAAGUACAUACAAACGGUAGAACCUGGGGCAA